CAUUACCUCCUAUUGGAUUUUCAAACCCCAUCAAAUUCACCCCGCCCAAUCUUCCCUCUUCCUAAACCCUCAAAUUCUCAAAUCUUCACUCUUCCUAAGAAUUCGCAAAUUCUGUAACUCACUCCUACCUUCCUUAUCGUACACAUUGCACACCCUUUCAUCACUUCUGACCCAACCAAUUUCUAGGGUUUUUAUAUUGUUUAUGAAUUGUGGGUACCUUGGCCGGCUAAUCGGAGACGAAUGUACCACCACCGCCGAUGAAGUUGGCUGACUCUCUCUCAUGUGUAAUUUGGCCAUGUCGGUUUUGACUCGUUUGUGAGAUUGGAUGGUUACAAGAGAAUCCCAACCCCAAGAUUCCAAUUUCACAUCGUUUUUUUUUUUUUUCUCACAUUCCUCUAUUAGGAUGGAUGCAGAGUCUCCUUUUGAGUAAGUUUUGAUACCGCUGAUUUCAUCACACUUCAUAUGCCUCUCACUCCAAAGAUAUUGAAUGAUGAAAACUUUGAAAAGAUGAAAAAAGGUGUUAGAAUAGUAAACGUCGCUCGUGGUGGAGUGAUAGAUAAAGAUGCUUUGGUUAGAUCAUUAGAUGCUGGCAUUGUAGCACAGCUCCAAAGCAAAUACGGGGCUUCUACUAAAACAAAUUCCUUGAAAAGGUCUAUAUCAGAAACAACUUUGGCGAGAAUGUAUGGCUUAUUCGAAUCAGGACUGUGUGCGGUCCAACCCAAACCCGAAAGAAGAGGGGGCUUACGUAGACAAAGCAGUGUUGCAGAUUUUGGAACAAGAGGGCCUAAAGCUAUCCAGGAUCCCCCAAACCUGAGGAGAAAUGCAUCUACGACAGCUAAUAUGAAUGAGCUUGCUUCAAACUAUACUCCUGUAAAUCCAGGUAAAAAGCCAGAAAAAGGUCUUGAUGCUAACUAAUUGGCAUCUUUAGAGUGAAAAAUGGUAUAGUCGGUUUGGGCCUACUAUAUUCAGUUUGGUACUAAAUGGUGUCUUUGGAACUAGCAAAUGCUAUGAUCAAAAAAGAAUAGUGUUAUGGUUAGAGUUCUAUGUUAGGAGUGUUACAAAUAUGAUAUUUUAUUUUUAUUUUUUGCUUCUUUUAUGUUGUGACUCUGCAUUCUCAGCUCCACUUAGAUGCACAAGCAGCUGAUCUUUUGAUGAAAAGCUUUUUGUACAGACCCUAUACAAGUUGCAGGCUGCACUAGAUGUAUUCACUAUAGAACCUCCACCAAAGGAUAGCAAGUUGGUUAAUCAUGAAAAUGUCACUGUCACUCCUCAUCUUGGUGCUAACACCACAGAAGCUCAGGUUUGUAAAUAACCACAAGAGCUGCGACAUUUGUUUGGAUUUUGUAAAGGUCGUUAUUUGGAUAUAUUUAUAUACAAAUUGGUCGAUUUUCAUUAUCUUUUAGACUUUAGAGGUGGCAAGAUGGGUGGAUUGGCCAGGUUGGGUAAUGGAUCAAAAUGGGUUUAGGUCGAAUCGGGUCAUUUAGAGUAUAGGUCGACAUGACUUGUACGGGUCAAAUGUGUUUAGCAGAAGGCAAACUAGAUUGUGAGGCAGCUUGCAAGAAUAACUGCUCGUGCACCGCCUAUGCAAAUCCAAACAUCGCUACAGGUAGAGUUGGGUGCUUGCUAUGGUUUGGGGGUUUGAUUGAUGUCCGAGUGUACCCACAAAAUGGGCAAGAUCUUUAUGUUAGACUUGUCGCCUCAGAAUUAUCAGGUAAAACAGUAACAUUACCAAAUUAAUGCAUUUGAUGUUUCAAUCUGUUAAACAUGUAAAUCUUCUAGACCUCCAUUCCAGCUUUUAUGGAAAGAAACGACUAGUUAUGCAGACAAAACAUGAUGAACUAUAUGAAGUUGUUUCGCAAAGGAGUUUUGAUUGGCUGAGACAAAAAAAGACCAGCUAAGGGCCUAAAUGAAAGUGGGGAGACUCUUUUAGAGAAUGAGAGGAGGUUAUAUUGUUGCAAGUGUUGCUAGGAGUGAUGCACGCUCAGACCAAAGUGCUCUUGUUGCAAGUGCUGCAGGUUAUGUUGCAGUUGCUACAUCAUUUGUAGAUAACUUUUGAUUAGUAGUUUAUGUAUUUAGUAUUAGUAGAUAGCUUUGGAUUAGUAUUUUAUGUAUUUAGUAUUAAAAUUGAAAACUUAUGUACGGAUUUUGGUUUAUUAUUGUUAAUAUCAAUAAUUUGGUUUUUAGA